AUUGCACGCUGGCGGCAGGCCUAACACAUGCAAGUCGAACGAGUGGCGGACGGGUGAGUAAUGUCUGGGAAACUGCCUGAUGGAGGGGGAUAACUACUGGAAACGGUAGCUAAUACCGCAUACCAUCAGAUGUGCCCAGAUGGGAUUCGCUUGUUGGUGGGGUAACGGCGCACCAGGGCGACGAUCCCUAGCUGGUCUGAGAGGAUGAACAGCCACACUGGAAAUGAGUCGCUGUCCAGACUCCUACGGGCGGCAGCAGUUGGGAAGAUUGCACAAUGGGCGCAAGCCGGAUGCAUCCAUGCCGCGUGUAUGAAGAAGGCCUUCGGGUUGUAAAGUACUUUCAGCGUGGAGGCGUUACCCGCAGAAGAAGCACCGGCUAACUCCGUGCCAGCAGCCGCGGUAAUAC
rnacentral:rRNA from 1 species